rnacentral:rRNA from 1 species
AACGCCGGCGGCGUCGCCUAAACACACGCAAGUUCGAAACGACGAAGCCUACGCUCGCUAGAGCGGAUCGCGGCGAAACGGGCGAGUAAUACGUCGAGCGACCUACCUUUCGACUCCGGGAUAAGCCCGGGAAAACCGGGUCUAAUACCGGAUACGACCAAUCUCCGCACGGGGCGUUCGGUCGGAAAGCGUUAUGGAGUCGGUUUUUAGAUGGGCUCACGGCCUAUCAGCUUGUUGGUGAGGUAAUGGCUUUACCAAGGCGACGACGGGUAGCCGGCCUGAGAGGGUGACCGGCCACACUGGGACUGAGACACGGCCCAGACUCCUACGGGAGGCAGCAGUGGGGAAUAUUGCACAAUGGGCGCAAGCCUGAUGCAGCGACGCCGCGUGAGGGAUGACGGCCUUCGGGUUUGUAAACCUCUGUUAGCAUCGAAGAAGCGAAAGUGACGGUAGGUGCAGAGAAAGCGCCGGCUAACUACGUGCCAGCAGCCGCGGUAAUACGUAGGGCGCGAGCGUUGUCCGGAAUUAUUGGGCGUAAAGAGCUUGUAGGCGGUUGGUCGCGUCUGCUGUGAAAGGCUGGGGCUUAACCCUGGUUUUGCAGUGGGUACGGGCUAACUAGAGUGCAGUAGGGGAGACUGGAAUUCCUGGUGUAGCGGUGGAAUGCGCAGAUAUCAGGAGGAACACCGAUGGCGAAGGCAGGUCUCUGGGCUGUAACUGACGCUGAGAAGCGAAAGCAUGGGGAGCGAACAGGAUUAGAUACCCUGGUAGUCCAUGCCGUAAACGUUGGGCACUAGGUGUGGGGGACAUUCCACGUUUUCCGCGCCGUAGCUAACGCAUUAAGUGCCCCGCCUGGGGAGUACGGCCGCAAGGCUAAAACUCAAAGAAAUUGACGGGGGCCCGCACAAGCGGCGGAGCAUGCGGAUUAAUUCGAUGCAACGCGAAGAACCUUACCAAGGCUUGACAUAUACUGGACUGCGUCAGAGAUGGCGUUUCCCUUCGGGGCUGGUAUACAGGUGGUGCAUGGUUGUCGUCAGCUCGUGUCGUGAGAUGUUGGGUUAAGUCCCGCAACGAGCGCAACCCUCGUUCUAUGUUGCCAGCACGUGAUGGUGGGGACUCAUAGGAGACUGCCGGGGUCAACUCGGAGGAAGGUGGGGAUGACGUCAAAUCAUCAUGCCCCUUAUGUCUUGGGCUUCACGCAUGCUACAAUGGCCGGUACAGAGGGUUGCGAUACUGUGAGGUGGAGCUAAUCCCUAAAAGCCGGUCUCAGUUCGGAUUGAGGUCUGCAACUCGACCCCAUGAAGUCGGAGUCGCUAGUAAUCGCAGAAUCAGCAACGCUGCGGUGAAUACGUUCCCGGGCCUUGCACACACCGCCCGUCA